rnacentral:rRNA from 1 species
AGUGAACGCUGGCGGUAGGCCUAACACAUGCAAGUCGAACGGCAGCACAGUAAGAGCUUGCUCUUACGGGUGGCGAGUGGCGGACGGGUGAGGAAUACAUCGGAAUCUACUUUUUCGUGGGGGAUAACGUAGGGACACUUACGCUACUACCGCAUACGACCUACGGGUGAAAGCAGGGGAUCUUCGCACCUUGCGCGAUUGAAUGAGCCGAUGUCGGAUUAGCUAGUUGGCGUGGUAAAGGCCCACCAAGGCGACGAUCCGUAGCUGGUCUGAGAGGAUGAUCAGCCACACUGGAACUGAGACACGGUCCAGACUCCUACGGGAGGCAGCAGUGGGGAAUAUUGGACAAUGGGCGCAAGCCUGAUCCAGCCAUACCGCGUGGGUGAAGAAGGCCUUCGGGUUGUAAAGCCCUUUUGUUGGGAAAGAAAAGCAGCAGGUUAAUACCCCGCUGUUCUGACGGUACCCAAAGAAUAAGCACCGGCUAACUUCGUG